CCUACGGGUGGCAGCAGUGAGGAAUAUUGGUCAAUGGGCGCGAGCCUGAACCAGCCAAGUAGCGUGAAGGAUGACUGCCCUACGGGUUGUAAACUUCUUUUAUAAAGGAAUAAAGUGAGGCACGUGUGCCUUUUUGUAUGUACUUUAUGAAUAAGGAUCGGCUAACUCCGUGCCAGCAGCCGCGGUAAUACGGAGGAUCCGAGCGUUAUCCGGAUUUAUUGGGUUUAAAGGGUGCGUAGAUGGGUUGUUAAGUCAGUUGUGAAAGUUUGCGGCUCAACCGUAAAAAUGCAAUUGAUACUGGCAGCCUUGAGUACAGAUAAGGUUGGCGGAAGUGGUGGUGUGGCGGUGAAAGGCUUAGAUAUCACGAAGAACUCCGAUUGCAAAGGCAGCUAACUACACUGACACUGACAUUGAUGCUCGAAGGUGUGGGUAUCAAACAGGAUUAGAUACCUAGUAGUC
rnacentral:rRNA from 1 species